GACGAACGCUGGCGGCGUGCUUAACACAUGCAAGUCGAACGGAAAGGCCCUGCUUUUGUGGGGUGCUCGAGUGGCGAACGGGUGAGUAACACGUGAGUAACCUGCCCUUGACUUUGGGAUAACUUCAGGAAACUGGGGCUAAUACCGGAUAGGAGCUCCUGCUGCAUGGUGGGGGUUGGAAAGUUUCGGCGGUUGGGGAUGGACUCGCGGCUUAUCAGCUUGUUGGUGGGGUAGUGGCUUACCAAGGCUUUGACGGGAAGCCGGCCUGAGAGGGUGACCGGCCACAUUGGGACUGAGAUACGGCCCAGACUCCUACGGGAGGCAGCAGUGGGGAAUAUUGCACAAUGGGCGGAAGCCUGAUGCAGCAACGCCGCGUGCGGGAUGACGGCCUUCGGGUUGUAAACCGCUUUCGCCUGUGACGAAGCGUGAGUGACGGUAAUGGGUAAAGAGGCACCGGCUAACUACGUG
rnacentral:rRNA from 1 species